UGACACAUAAUAAUAAUAUCCUAGGGGAUGUGUUGAAAAACAAAACCAAAAAAAUCUACCUACAAAAUGCUGCAAUGCCUUGCUCAGCUGACUAAUGCUGGAGAAAAAACACUGGUCCACUGAGGAAAAAAAUCAUUCAGCACUUCUGUAUGGCCAGAAAAUGAGCAGCAGUAGUGGCUGAGCAGCAGUGAGAAACUGAGGGAAACAGCAACAGAACCAGCAGUCUACAGCAAUCCUAAGGAAGCCUGUGUACCAGCUGGGAUAGAGGGCAGGUCUAAAAUCACAAGUCUAGCAUGAUAGAGUCUCACAGCCAACAUGAGUCUGAUGUAACGACAGCACUCAGGCUUGGAUGGCUUCCUCCAGGAUGGCUUCCCAAUGCCCUUCCUCUAAGGGAAAUUCAGUUCAACUCUUCAUCAGGUCCAGAAGCUGACCCAGAGACGGAACUAAAGAACUCCAGUCUACCUUGCAAUGAUCUCUCCAUCGGAGCUGACCUCAUCCACAAAGAGCUGGGCCUUCUGUGCUAGUCUGGGUAGAUAUUGAACCCUGGUCAUGGCUCAGGUGACCAGAUCUCCUCACUCACCUGUGCACAGGAGUGCCACCUUGUGGUUGUUGACCCCAACUGCUAACAUUUGACCCAAACAGGAGCACACAGCACACAACACACAGCCUAGUUGGAAUAAGUUAAAGUCUUAGGGGAAAAUAAUAAAGAGGAAGAAGUUUAAUUUAGAAAAAAAUGAAUACUUCUUUAGAUAUCUCUGAAAUACUAAUUGCUAUUGUUCUGAAGAGUCUAAAGACAUAUUGGAGGGCACACACUCAAGGGCUUCUUUUGAUAUUUCUGUUAAUUUUUUUUUCGUUAGAGAAACAUUCAACUUUAAAAAGCUAGCUGCCAAAGGAUGUGAUUUUUGA
rnacentral:lncRNA from 1 species